rnacentral:misc_RNA from 1 species
AGCAGCCGCGGUAAUUCCAGCUCCAACAGCGUAUAUUAAAGUUGUUGCAGUUAAAAGCUCGUAGUUGAAUUGAGGGAUUGACGUGACGGUCGUGCCUUACGGGGUAUGAACUGUUGCUGUUGAUUUUUCUCACCUUCUGGAGAAACUUGAUGUCCUUAAUUGGGUGUCUUGCGGAUCCAGGACCUUUACCUUGAAAAAAUUAGAGUGUUUAAAGCAGGCAUUUUGCUCGAAUACAUUAGCAUGGAAUAAUAGAAUAGGACGGCAUGGUUCUAUUUUGUUGGUUUCUAGGAUCACCGUAAUGAUUAAUAGGGAUAGUUGGGGGCAUUAGUAUUCAAUUGUCAGAGGCGAAAUACUUGGAUUUGUUGAAGACUAAUUACUGCGAAAGCAUUUGCCAAGGAUGUUUUCAUUAAUCAAGAACGAAAGUUAGGGGAUCGAAGACGAUCAGAUACCGUCGUAGUCUUAACCAAUAAACUAUGCCGACUAGGAAUCAGACGAUGUAAUUUUUUUCAGUGAUUCGUUU